rnacentral:miRNA from 1 species
GUGCUGGAAUGUAACUCGGUGGUAGAGUAUGUGCCUAGCAUGUGAAGUCCUGGGUUUCAUGCCCAGUCCUAGAAAAGGAAAAUACUUAGUAUAGG